GCAUCUGUACCAUGUCUAUUCUGUCUUUAAGCUUUAUUGUGUCUUCUUUACAUUAAAAAAAAAAAUCAUAAAAUUGUGUCUGUGGGUGUGUGUGUCCGUACUGGAAGCUUCCUUUACCAAGUCAAACUUCUUGUGUGUGUGAGCUCACUUGGCAAUAAAGCUCUUUCUGAGUAAUCUGUUUGUAUUUCAUUACAGGGACAGAACCAGACUGGGGGACAUGGUCCAGGUGGUGGGAAAAAGCAUGACAAGAUUAAGAAGAAGAAAUACGAGCCUUCGGUCCCCACACGAGUCAGCAAGAAGAAGAAAAAGUCCAAAGGUCCAGUGAGGAAACUGCCUUUAGUGAUUAAUCGGUGGAAAUGGCAAAUGAACUCAUUUAAAACAUCUUUGAGUCGACCGUGUGACAGGAAAAUGCUGCUGAAAUCUGGAUUCUGAUUGAUUAGGAGUUGAUUAAUUCGCUAUAACGGCAGCUCUGACAGUUAUAUUCAUUAUUAAUGCACUCGUUGUAAACACGUGGUGUCAUUGACCAGGAAGCCAAAAAAAAAAACCAUGCUCAUUUAUUGGAAAAAAUGAAUUCAUUAAUUCAAUAAACAUUCCACAAAACUGCUUUAUGUCAGUGCACUGAGUGUGUGUUUGAGGUCCACAGUGACUCCACACAUUCAGUGCAGGCUGAAGCUGCCGAAGCAGGAGCACAUUAAAAGAUUACCUGCUGAUGGAGGAGGACUUCAUCAGGAACAGAUGAA